rnacentral:rRNA from 1 species
UUUCCUACGGGACGCAGCAGUAGGGAAUCUUCCACAAUGGACGAAAGUCUGGUGGAGCAACGCCGCGUGAGUGAAGAAGGGUUUCGGCUCGUAAAGCUCUGUUGGGAGUGAAGAAAGAUAGAGGUAGUAACUGGCCUUUUUUUGACGGUAAUUACUUAGAAAGUCACGGCUAACUACGUGCCAGCAGCCGCGGUAAUACGUAGGUGGCAAACGUUUUCCGGAUUUAUUGGGCGUAAAGCGAGGGCAGGCGGU